rnacentral:lncRNA from 1 species
CCUUUCCCGGAGUGCUGCGGCCAGGGCUCGCCCGCUCCUCCGGCGGCCUCCGCUGGGGGCCCACUACAGCCCAGCGCCAGCCAGCCAGCCAGCCCAGCUUCUCGAAUCGGUCCUAAGCUGAGGCCGCCCUGCGCUGCAAAACUUGUGUCCACUCUCGGACCCAAUCUGUCCUGGACGGACUUGGCUCGUGGCAGGCGAAAGCGUCGUUUCCAACUGCAGCUGUUUGAAUUCUGGCGCCACACCCGCGCCACGUAGGGCCAAGUCGGCCGCCAGACUCGUGCGAGAGGGCGGGACGGCCUCGUUCUGACUCCGGGAGGCUAUAUAAGGAGCUACUGGCUGCGCACUUCGGUCUUUUACGUCGGCCUUCGCGAGCGUCUGGGCGGGUGGUAGGUGAGUGGGUAUUGCGGGCUAGUAUCCGAGCAAAAGAUGGUGGCGCAGGCCGAGUUAAGAGCUUUAAUCCUGUGAAGACAUCUUAGUGAAGAGUUUAGAGUGCUGAGAGUUGAAAGCUUGCACGUGGGAAACGUGCGGCCGGACUGCCACAUGUACUGAGGUUGAGUCGUGACGGCCACAGGCUCCGAGUUUUGGCGUGAGGAACCGCUGAUCGGCCACGGGCGCCGAACUUGCUGGCCUCCGGCAUGUGCCUGAGCGGCGGCGGAAAAACCACCUUAAUUGGGGCGGAGGGUUAGUUUUAACAGCAAAGGGCCUUUACUAAAAUGGCGAAGGCCUUCCGUCGGCGUUGUUUUAAAAUGGGAAGCCUCGACCCUGUAUUGAAACUGAGCUGUUCGAAGGCGGCGUUGUGUGCAAUUCGGAUUAAUGAAGGGGAAGGGUUUUGUGUGGAAAAACGCCUUGGAGUGUGACAUUUCUGCGAGAAUGCUUAAAUACCGAUUUCCCGCAGGAACAAUGGCGCUGUCUUCAGUGGCACAGUGGAGCAGCUCUGAAGAUGCAAAGAUACACGAAAAAACUUCCAGAACAUCUGGGAGAAUAUUUAAUGGAAAAUCGCUUGGUUAAAACCUGACACUUUUAACAGUGAACAGCGUUCUGAGUGUGGACGAGUAGCCAGUGAAGAUAAUGAAUGUCGAAUGUGACUGACUAGCAGCUUCAUUUUGAAUGAGGGUCGCUGUCUGCCCAUUGAUAGAGGCCAGAUUGUCUUGGAAGUUCCAAAGUUGCAACGAUUUCUGGCUAGUGCCACGAGGUUUACUUGACUGUUGUGUGAAAAGCUGAUAAGAAAACCAUCCAGAAAAAAGCUCUUCGUUUUACAAACAUGAAAAUAAAACAUGUAAUUUUGGAUUAUGUUCCUUUUUGUUAUUACUUUUAAAUAGGUCCUGAAAUAACAUGGGGAGCAUUAAAUGGAAAAUCCACUAACCAGCCUUGUAAUCAAAUUACUGUGAGUGAAUGUUUCGGGUUUGUGCAGGGUACAAUGUAAGGGUUUUUGGAUCAGUGUAAGAGUGGAGAGACAGGAAUUAGAAGUAAUUGUUACUAAGCAAAUCAUGGAAUAUUUAGUUUUGAUGUAACUAUAAUUUUGAAAGCCUGGAUGCUUAAGUUGAGAAAUGGGGGAAUGAGAUACAGAAAAUAAGGAGCACAAUAGAAUAAUAAUAGCAGUUUAUUAAGUAUGGUCAUGAGGGAAGGUUACUGAUAAAACAAUCUGGUAAAGACAUUCAGGCUUGCUAAAAUCUAGGAAGAGGUCAUUUGGCAGGAUGGGUUACAUAAUGCUAUCUGAUACUACCAAAUAAAAUGAGAGAGAAGCCUUAGGCAUGUAACGUUUGGAGAUAGAAAAUGUACCUUCACUAUGAAGGUAGUGUGUGUAAGAUGGCAGUUGAAAGCAUUGCUUGUGUUUAUGUUUAUACCCUUGAUCUCUGAUGCCCUUACCUACCGUACUUAAAACUCUGUUAAUCAUUGUCUUUCUCCCCCUCCCACAACUUCUGCAUAAAAUUUUAAGAUCUGUGUUUCAUUAGUUCAAGAGUGCCUAGAAUAGGGCCAGGCACUGUUAUACAGUAUGUGGUAAAAGACUAUUGAGAUUCCAGUUUUCAAGGAAGAGUGCCAUUACCGUUUUGUUAAAGCUGGCAAACAAGACAAAGUUGUGAAAUAGACUGGUUGCUUUGGAGCCCUCUGACCGCUUUUCCUGUAGCUCCUUCUACCUCCCUUGCCUCCCAAUAGAUUUUUUAAUAUGUCACAUUAUCUAUCGAAAUUAGUACUCCACAUUUAUAUGCACUGGCUUGUGCUAGGCUCUGCCAAGACUCCUGAAAUAAAACCGUUUUGUCAACAGUGGCACAAGAUGCCAAGGAAAAGUCAAGCUAUGAAGGAUUCUUGAAAAUAGAACAAGUGGAUUUGAGUCUAAACCAGCACAGAUGUUGGGACAAUAGGCCUAAGAAAUAACUGAGCAAAGACAGUAUGGUUCAGAGUCUGAGACAAAUAUUGAGGAUUUGGGUACCAACAGGGUGGAUAGGUGUAGGACAGAAAACUGAUGUUAUAAAUACCCUUAAGAUUCUUGAGCAAGGAAGUUACAAAUGUAAGACUAUUCCUGUAAUGAGAGUCAGAUCCAAAAAGGUUUAAUUUGAAUGGAAUUGAACUUGAAAGUUCAGUUUCAAUUACUGACUCCUUGAUGGCAAUUUCUAAUCACACAGGAGGCUGUUAGUCUGUCAUAGCCUCCUAAAAUCUCAGGCGAUAUUGGUUAAGAUCAGUUUCCUAAGUUUACCCUCCAGAGCAUAGCUGCUGCUUGGGACCAGGUGCAGUGACUCAUGCCUGUAAUCCCAGCACUCUGCUUGAGCCCAGGAAGAGACCAGCCUGGAAACAGCAAGUUGUCAUCUCUAUAAAUAAGUAAAACUGGGUGUGGUAACAUGCGCUUGUUCCAGCUACUCGGGAGGCUGAGAUAGGAGGAUCACUUGAACCUAGGAGGUUGAAGCUACAAUCAGCCAUGAUUGCACCUCUGUCUUCUAUCCUGGGCAACAGACCAGGCUAAAAAAAAAAAAAAUCCUUAAGGAGCUUGACUAUAAUAGACUGGGAUAUGCUUGAUUCUGAUUGGUUUCAGAAGUUGAAAGAUAAUUUACGUGUCUGACUUUAGUGACUUCAGCCAACAGGAAUUUUUCCUCUGCCUUACACCAGGCUUCCAGGUAAUCUUAAAAUACAGUAAGCUCAAACCUACCAUUUGGUGCUUUCUAAAAUUAGUUCUAUUGCCAGAAACCCAAUAUCCACUGUGCUUGGCUCCCCAGUCAAGUGUCCUGUGAACUAACAUCAAUCCUCACUGCCCUGUGUAUAUGAAAGAGCUUUCAGCUGUUUUCAUGGUUUUUCUAACAGUUCCCCAGUUGGGAUUAGAGCCUUUGUUUGAAUCAGCCUACUAGAAUAACCUGCUUAUCUUUUGCCAGUCCUUUAAUAGGAGUGGGACCCUCCUUCCUGCCUUUUCAAAAGCUUGGUUCUGGAUCCAAACAAUACUUAUAGUACUUAGUUAUAGGUAUAUAUUAGUAUACAUGACUUAACUGUCUGAAUAUUGCCACUGCCUCUGAUCUUACUCCAUCCUGUAGAGUAACAUCUUGUAGAGAGCAUCUUGGGGCAGAAGAGGAUACAUUUUCAGUAUGAGAACCAGACUCCUUGUCUUACUCUCAUGAGUCCUGGUCUCCUCCUGGUACUACUAUUCCACUGCUGAGGUCUCAGCAUGCCAUAUAGCUGAGUUUGUCAGAGUUAAUGAGGGUUUAAUCAGAAUCCCAAAUCAAGUACAGUCCAGUCCAACCUAUUUGAGAACUUUAUCUUUCUUGUUACUUCAUUUAUUAUAGUUCACUUCAAAAGAGCAAUGGAAAAGGCACUUCAGAAUAUGCAAAAAAUGUAUCAUUUGAAGGCAAUAAUUUACAAAUAUGCAUUACUUCACUGAGAUCAGGAAACUUUUGUCCUUGCCUCCUGUAGUGAAUAUAACUGAUGUACAAAAAUGUGUACAUUUAAAAAGUAUACAAUUUGAUGGGUUUUUCAUAGGAAUAUACUCAUGAAACCAUCAACAUAAUCAAGAUAAUGACUAUAUCCAUCACUCCCAAAAAUAUUCUAUUGUUGGCUUGAUUUUGAACAUGUUAAGUUUAAAUAGCACAUGUUAUUCAAAUUGGGAUUUUUGAGUAGGCAGUUAGAUAUAGAGGUCCACAGUUCAGAGGAGAGGUCUGACUAAAAUAAAAUUGGGAGUUAACAUAUGGAAGGCAUAUUUAAAGCCAUAAGAUUAGAUGAGAUCACCAAUAGAGAAAAAAGUCCAAGAGUUGAACCCUGUGGCCUUUCAGGAUUAGGACAUUCCAGGUUUAUUCAAAUCCUAGAGAAUAAUUUGUGCCAAGGGACAAAAAUCAGGACGCAGGAAUCUGCUGCCAAGUUCAAGGGCCAUAUUUGUUAGGAACAGAAACUAAGUAGAAAACCAAGGAUGCCUGGAAUGAAAUGAGCCAAGAAAAAAGGAUAAGAACCAAGCAAAACUUGCUGGAAAUUGCCUUGGAUUUAAUAUAGACCAUUGGUCAACAUGAAAACUGAAGAUAGUGUCUGAUCAUGACUUUGCAAAGUAACAGACGAAGUGAUCUUCAGGAGAGAAUAAGAUGAGGAAUUUAGGAAGUAUGAUAAGGCUUUUUCAUCAGACACUGCAGAUUGGGAGAAAAUGGAGCUGACCAUGGACAAGUUAUAAAUUUGCCUAGCAUUGAUAAAGUAUCAGCUGAGGCUGAAAACCACCAAUUUUAACAAAAAUCAGCAUAUUUCUUCAGUAUUGUGUGGUGCUUAUCUCCUUGGGAGCAGAAAGCAGAGACUGGAUUAAUCCAAAAUCAGGGAUAAACUGACCAGGAGGAGCAGAGGAAUAAUGGGCCAAGAGUACUGAGGAUGCAAGUAAAAGUGCUCAAAUUACUGUAUUGACCUUGUAAUCCCAAGCUGAUCGGGGAAGGAAAAAAAAAAAACAGGAGAGGGCUGGAAAAUUGUCACAGGUAAUGACAGAGGAUCAGAUGUGCUAUAGAAAUGUGCUGUUGAAAAUGGUAGACUAAGCCCCUCUCCAAUUAUACUGUGGAAUGAGCCGUAUAACAUGUUGUGAUUAUUGGUUUCUCCCUUCUGGACCUGGAGUGUCAGUUCUUCUAAAGCAGAGACUUCCCUUUAAUCUCUGUUUAAACUUGGUGCCUAGGACAAUGUAAUGGCAUCCAUAAAAUAUCUAAUGGAAUGGAGUUUAACAUGUUUUUUAGGGUGGAACUGGUGGUGUGAUUUAAAUUCUCCAAAAGAGAAAUGAGAAAAGUUGGAAGCUGUUGUGGCCUGACUUUAUACCCCCAAAAUUCAUAUUUUGAAUACCCCAAAAAGAAGUAUAAUGUAAGUCCAGAAUCAUUACUGGUGAUGACGUUCAAAAGUCAGAAUUGAGAUAUACCCCAAAGAACACACCUUGCUAUUGCCCUAGAGAAGUUUAAUGUGUUUUAUGCCUAUGUUCCUAUUGAUGCAGUUAAAGUGACCAACUAUUAGCAACAAACCCCAAAUUGUCCUUUGUACAAAAAUAGUUGAUUAGGCCAGGUGCAGUAGCUCAUACCUGUAAACUCCCAGUACUUUGGGAGGCCAAAGUGGGAAGUUCGCUUGAAGCCAGGAAUUUGAGACCAGUGGGCAACAUAGCAAGCCCGUCUCUACAAAGUGUUAAAAAAUUAGCUGGGCUACUUGGAGGAUCUGGCUACGUGGUGGCUGAGAUGGGAGGAUUGCUUGAGCCCAGGAGUUCAAGACCGCAGUGAGCUAUGAUUGUGCCACUGCACUCUAGCUGGGCAAGAGUGAGACCCUUUCUCAAAAAAAAAAAAAGAAAAAGUUAUUUAAAGUUAUUUGCACUGUGUCUUUAUUAUGCUUAUAUCCAUAUUUUUCAUAACUGAAGGCCAUACCAUCAAUAAAAACACAUUGAGUACAUUAAAAAUAUGGAUAUGAGCAGUAACAAAAAUAUAGGCCAAAUAACAUCAUUAUUAUUAUCAUCAUUAAUUAUUUUAGAGACAGGUUCUCACUCUGUCACCCAGGCUGGAAUGCAGUGGCCUAAUCAUAGCUCACUGCCACCUUGAACUCUUGGGCUCAAGGGAUCCUCCCACUCAGCCUCCCAAAUAACCAGGAGAUCCUCUAGCAUGUGCCACCAAGCUCAGCUGAUUUGUAUUACUUUUUAUAGGGAUGGGGUGUCACUAUGUUUCCCAGGCUGCUCUUAAACUCCUGACCUCAAGUGAUCCUUCCACCUUGGCCUCCAAAAGUGCUGAGAUUACAAAUGUGAGUCUCCUCACCAAGAUGCUUUUUUUUUUUUUUUUAAGCAGUGAAAUGAGAGCUCACUGUGUAGCCCAAGCUGGUCUUGAACUCCAGACCUCAAGUGGUCUUCCUGCCUCAGCCUCCUGAGUAGCUGGGAUUAUUGAUGUGAGUGGCCACACCUAUACCAAAUAAUUUUAAUCAACCACUUUUUUUUUUUUUUUUAAGACAGAGUCGUGCUCUGUCGCCAGGCUGGAGUGCAGUGGUGCCAUCUCAGCUCACUGCAACCUCUGCCUCCCGGGUUCAAGUGAUUCUCCUGCCUCAGCCUCCUGAGUAGCUGGGACUACAGGCGC